rnacentral:rRNA from 1 species
UGCUGGUUCUCUAGGGAACAUUGUGCACACUUGUCAUCUUUAUAUCUCCACCUGUGCACCUUUUGUAGACCUGGAUGUCUCUCCGAGUGCUUGUUUUGCACCUUGGGUUUUGAGGAUUGACUUUAUUGUCUCUACCUUACAUUUCUAGGCCUAUGUUUUCAUCAUAUACUCCAAUGUAUGUUAUAGAAUGUAAUACAUGGGACUUUGUGCCCUAUAAACUUUAUACAACUUUCAGCAACGGAUCUCUUGGCUCUCGCAUCGAUGAAGAACGCAGCGAAAUGCGAUAAGUAAUGUGAAUUGCAGAAUUCAGUGAAUCAUCGAAUCUUUGAACGCACCUUGCGCUCCUUGGUAUUCCGAGGAGCAUGCCUGUUUGAGUGUCAUUAAUAUAUCAACCUCUUCAACUUUUGCUUGUUUGAGUGUUGGAUGUGGGGGUAUUUUUUGUUGGCUUCUAACGAAGUCAGCUCCCCUCAAAUUUAUUAGCAGAUUAAUUUGUUGAUCCUGUUCAUUGGUGUGAUAAUUA